GUUCACUUUACAAAUAAACAGUUCGCAUACAUAACACAAUUCAUUUAUGUUCCUCCUCUGAACAUAUGUAAAUCAUGUAGAAUUCUUGUAAUCUUCAGGGAUGUUUAAUUUUUAAGUUUCAGUCAUGUUAUGAAGAAAGGAAGUUGUUAUGUUUCGUCUGGAAACUCCGCCCAUUCGGAGCAGGUUUUUGAGGGAAAACUUUGUGCGCCAUUUUCAUUUCGGUCGGAGGAAUUCAUCUAUCUGGACCAUAAAAGUCUGGACAGCUCUUCACACGGUAAAGGUAAUAAAACGUUGUCAUUUAUUAGUCAAAGACAGACGUAGUCGCACAAUUCUGACUAAGCUGAAGUUUUUAUCUGCCAGUAUAACAUCGAGCAGGAAUUAGCCAAUGUCAAAGCUAGCUAACGUUACCACUUGCUAGCUAAUGCACUAGCUACAACAUUUGGAGAGCUCUCCACAAGGUAAAGGCAAUUAAAUAUUGUCAAAUGUCGGACAGAGUUAAAGAUGUCCUGUUAGACGCAUUGUUUUCACUGAGCAGAGGUUUUUAAGGCCCAGCAAAAACGAGCAACAUGGAUAGUCAAUGGUAAUGCUAAUGUUGCUACUCGCUAGCUUUAGCUAACGUUAUGCUAAAGAUAGUCCUGUUAGACGCAUUGUUUUCGUUGAGCAGAGGUUUUUAAGGACCAGCAAAAACGAGCAAUGCUAAGGUUAGCUGAUGUAGCUACUCGCGGUAUUCUAGCGAGGGCAACUUUUAUCUUAAGUGUAACUAGGCGUCCCAACCCCAAAUCGGGGACACUUGCGCGGGCUGACGGAGGGGGGGUGCUAGCUGUCUCGACCGGGGGGGUCACCCGGCCCCCGCGCACACAGUGGUCAAAUCCCCCAAUGCCCAUUAUUCGGGAUGUCCCGGGUAAUACGGGACGGUUGGCAACCCUAAGUGUAACUGUUAUUCUUGAUAGGUAAUGUUAAAUGUAUAAAUUCAGACUUAAAUUAGACCACAUGGUCAACUUCCUAAUUAGCUAGGUUAUGUUAAGCUAGUAGUUGAAGGAAAAGUUGACUGCAGUUUUUUUGCUGACCGUGCACAAUUUUGCUCUGUGCUUAAUUAGAACGCAGCACUUGAUAAAGUCAGGAACGUGAAUGUUCAUGUUUUCUAAAUCAAGCUUAGUAAAAGGUAAUGUUCAACUGGUUGGUUAAAUCAGCAUGGUGCAGGUGGCACUUAUUUACAUUAUAUAGUCAUUCCUCAAAUGUCCUCAUCUCCACAAGUCCAUGUAUAGGAGGUGCAUUACUCUGAUCAGAGCAAUUCUUACCAUGUCCUUAUUGCUGAUGUUAACUGUUUAAUAAUUAUUUUCAACAUUUUCUGUGUUGGAAUUAAAACUUAGAUGUGCUUCUUGAGAUUUACAUUGGCAAGAAAAUGUAUCUAAAAUCAAGUUUAUUUAUUAGAUACUGUGAUGUAGUGCAGAGUAUUAUUCAAAUUCCUUUUCAUAAUUGUAAUUUUAGGUAUUGUUACAGUAUUUUUAUGUCUGAUCAUUCUUGUUUUCAGAUAAAUGCAGAAUUCAAGCACAUCACCACCAUGCCCCUGCAAUCCAGAUUUCUCUCACAGCUAGAUGACAGACUUGCGACACUAUUUGAAAGAAAAGGAGGACAGAUAGGCAAGCGGCUACAGAGCAUUAUGGCAGACAUGAAUCAAGAUGAUGAUGUUGAUGUUGGGCGGGAAUGCGUACUCAAGGGUCUGUGUGUGUACCUCAAUGAGGAUCCAGAAAAUCUAGUGAGAGAAUACACAGACGAAGACCUGAACCAAGGAGCCAUUGAGAAGACCACGCUGGGAAUAUGUGUUGUGAAACACACCGAUGCCACUGAUGGACCAGAGGACAUUGGGAUUGUCCUGGAGGGCCAGGUGGUACUGCAUGAUCUGGAUAACGUUGCCUUAGCUGCUGCCAUGUUGUUUGGCCUAACGUAUGCCUUGAACCUCAACUACCCUCCUGAACUUAAGUACUCGUUCGAAGUGCUCCAGAAGGUUGUGAUGGAGCUGGACGGCAACACACGGUCAAAGAAAGCCCAGGCUCUCAAAAACAGAGUCCAUCAGUGAACUGUGGCAAGAUGGAUAAAACAGUUUCGCCAUCUUUUGGAAUAUGGACCAUUGCUGCUUUUUUCAGUAGGAUUGUUGGAACCAGUCACCUGCAUGUUCUGUGAUGGGUGAUGAUCAGACAGCGUUACAGCAUGCACAGUGCUUUUUUUAUAGCAAGUGUAGUGUAUUUUUUUGUUGUUUUUUCUCAGGGUCAUUUGCCUUUUUCAUUUAAGUGUCAGCAUUUGUCAGAUGUGUUGAAUAGAGCUCCAACAGUUUACUCUAGCCAUUACUCUUAAUUGUAUUACUUUAUUUUCAAAACCCUCUCAGUUUAAAGAGAAAAUUCAGUUUUCAAGCACAAUAUCUACAUUUGCCAGAACAAUAAUGGUUCUUACAUGUGUCCUUUUAUUUUGUUAAGAAAUUGUAAAUGUAAUAAAUGUUUUUUGCACAUAUUUUGCACUACAUCCCUGCAUUAACCUGGCUGUAUAGUAUUCUCUUGACGCUGGUUUGAUGUAAUUCAGAAGGUGUUUUAAGGACUAACAAUGUUGCCUCAGGUUGUAGCAGUCAUGAACGUUUACAUACUCUUGAUAACUUGCAUACCAAGUGUUUCUUGUGAAAGAAAAAGGUGCUUUUUUCUAAUAUGAGAUUUGUUUGUGAAUGUGUGCAUGUGUUUGUGUAUACAUUACACUGAACCUUCUAUUGUUCUAUGACAAUACAGUUGUAAAUGUAACGUUUUUGUUUUGCCUUAUUUAUUUCGAAAAUGUUAAAGGAGUAAAUCCUGUAGGUAAGAUUAGUAGAAAUCGCCAUACAGAAAUAAUUUUAGCAUGUAGAAUUUAUACAGAAAAGUAUGCAGGAUCUUUAUGAGU